rnacentral:lncRNA from 1 species
CACCCAGGCACCCUUGAAUGUUCAGCCAUUUAUUCUCAAAUGUUUCCAUUUGCUUCAGCUCUGUUGAUCUAGUUAAUCUUUAAUGCAUGUGAAAGUACAGCAAUGUUACAUCUUACUCCAGAAUUAGGUUCUAAAGUCAUUGUAAAAGGCAAAAAUUGCCCAGUCAAAAUUAAAAUUACCUCUGAAUAUCUCUCAAGUCAGCCUAUAAAUUAUUAUCGUUCAGUAAGGCCAAAACAGUCAGUUUUCCUCUAGCACUGUUCAGAUACCUGUCCAUUCAGCUGAAUAUAGAUGAAAUAGCCUAUCUGUUCAAGAAUGCCAGACUCACACUCAGGAGAGGGAGUUGUUCAUACUAUGAAACACAAUCAAGAAGUGAAAGAACAUCUUCCAACUCUGAGAAACACACAUUCACUUUCAGAAAGACAGGAAUGGCUGAAUGACUCCCCUAUACUCUUUAAACUUUAUUUCUCCCAAACAGGCUCCCUCCCUUCUCUAAGGGACAUUAAGCAUACAUACUCAGGAUCCCAGCGGUUUGGCGCCUGCCUUUGGCCCGGGGCGCGAUCCUGGGGACCCGGGAUUGAGUCCCAUGUCGGGCUCCCGGUGCAUGGAGCCUGCUUCUCCCUCUGCCUGUGUCUCUGCCUCUCUCUCUCUCUCUCUCUCUCUGUGUGACUAUCAUAAAUAAAGAAAAAAAUAUUUUAAAAAAAAGCAUACAUACUCAAAUUACAGAAGUUAAAGCAAGAGGCAAUGCAUGUGAGAUAAUGUUUGCAUUAAAAAUUCUAAAAGUGGUUCUGAUGCCAUGCAACUUCAAUGUUUAUGUCUUACAUUUUAACUGUAUAAUGCAGCACAAUCUUUUUUGAGUUUCCAUAUGCAAGCUGAUCAGAUGUUUUUGUGCUGAAUGUUCUAAAUUUUAAUGUUCCAUUUAGCUGGCAGAACUCAUAUUCUGUGGAACAACUCAGAAGUUCACCUGUUCCCCUUAACCCCUAUCAGGGAUUAUAGUGGGGAAUUAAGCCGUACGUAGUCUUAGGGAAAUUCCAGAGAAAUUCCUUUCCUAUCUGUAAAAGAGAGAGAACACCAGUGUGGAUAUGGGGUAAUUCAGACCAUGUUACCUAAUGAGUAUUCCCAUAUUCAAAAAGAUCAGACGUCGGUCAUUAAGGCAAUCAGCUGAUCAAAGCAUCUACAGAAAUGUGCGAAGCUGGGGUACAUGAGGGCAAUGAAUAAUUGUUUUGAUUUUUUUUUUAAAGUAUUCAACUAACUGCCAAAAAAGGGAAACAUGAUCUGUACUUCUGCAAUAGAGAGAAAUGAGGAUAAAAAUUAUUUGAAUUGGGAACCAGAGGCAAAAAUACACGUGCUUGGCAUUUGCAAUGGAUUCUACUAAAGCUCUAUGCUAACCAAAAUUUUUACAUGGCAAUAGUAUCCUUUUAAAAUACAACACUAAAAUGUUUACAAAUUAGAGUUGCUGUUUGGGUAAAAGACAGAAAAACAGGGAUCCCUGGGUGGCGCAGCGGUUUAGCGCCUGCCUUUGGCCCAGGGCGCGAUCCUGGAGACCCGGGAUCGAAUCCCACGUCGGGCUCCUGGUGCAUGGAGCCUGCUUCUCCCUCUGCCUAUGUCUCUGCCUCUCUCUCUCUCUCUGUGACUAUCAUAAAUAAAUAAAUAAAUAAUUUAAAAAAAAAAGACAGAAAAACAAAAUGAACUUAGAAGUGACUUUUUACAAGUUACUGUUUCUCUUUAAUAAAAGGAGUAAUGUCAGUAGAUGUAUUUAGUAGAAGGAGUAAAUUUCAGUAGAAUUAUUUUAUAAAUUAAUUUCUGGAGGAGAGGUACAGUGAGAAGAGCCUUUACAAAUGAGCCUCAAAAUUCAGCUCACCUUCAAUGAGAUGCCUUUUCAAUACUCUGAAAGAAUUCUUUAGGCUCAAAUAUCUUUGUUUUUAAAGCAAAAGAUAUUUGCUUUAAAAAUCUCUACUUUAAAUUCAGAUAAUAAUUAGAUAUUACAUAGUUGAAUAGAUACGUAGCGAUUCUGUUACGUAGAUAACAGAACAGUAAUACAAACCCAGUCAAGUUUUAUAAUAUUUUAGCAAUUAAUAAAUUAUUUUACGUAUUUUCAUUGGGAACUGUUUUGAAAAAAGGAAAAAAUAAUAUAAAGUCUAGAAGGUCUCCUCUCUGGUUAUUUUUCACUUAAUAAUUAGUGACUGAGUGCCCAGUAAGUGCCAGGCAAAGAUCUAGGUGCUUUGUUAUACAGUCUCAUGUAAUUCCUGGGGAAGACACACAUAUAUGACUAUAACUUAACAAGAAAAAAAGAUUUAAUAAAAUGUUUCAUUUUAAUUGAUUAUAACCAAGUAGUCUAUGCUCAGAAUUUACUUUAUGGCCCAUUUGCAACAACUUGUGAGUAUACGUUCACCUGAAACUUCUUGCUCCUCCUUUUGAAAUCUGCCUUUUAUUUAUCUAUUCAUCCAUUCAUUUAACUAUAAUUGCCCAACCAUGCACAUAACAGUUGGGAAGUAGAAUGAAAGAUGUACCUAUGUAAAUAGGCAAAGAGAGUUCCUGAAUUUAAAGAGGCAAGGUUUUUCCUCACUUUAAAAAGGUCAAGAAAUAACAAAACCAAUUAUAUGGUAGAUCUAAUGAAAGGUUUAAGCUGCUCAGAUAACAGAUAUGAAAGUGCUCUUUAAAACCGUAAAACGUUAUUCUACUAUAAUACAUAAUUACUAAACAAUUUGCUUGAUUACUCUAAUGACUUCAAUAAUUCAUGUUAUUAUUAUGAAUAUCAAGAGUCCCCUGCUAACCUGAAUUGGUAUAUUUGAGAACCAACUAAGGCCUGUAAUACUUUUUUUGUUAAGUUUAGUUGUAGCAUUUAAUUAAAGAUAUUCAAUAUUAUCAAUUCAGUCAAGCUUCAAGAAAUUAUAUCCUUUUAGGUUUUCUAGUCAUUUAUUAUGAUUUAGUAAAAAGAAAAUGGGACUUAAAGGGCUUAAGGAUGGGACACCUGGGUGGCUCAGCAGUUGAGCAUCUGCCUUUGGCUCAGGGUGUGAUACCGCAAUCCUGGGAUGGAGUCCCACAUCAGGCUCCCUGCAUGGAGCCUGCUUCUCCCUCUGCCUCUGUCUCUGCCUUUCUCUGUUUCUCAUGAAUAAAUAAAAUCUUAAAUAAAUAAAUAAAUAAAUAAAUAAAUAAAUAAAUAAAUAAAUAAAUAAAUAAAUGGUUUAGAGAUUUAGGUUUUGAGUGUUGGCUUUAUGCAACCUUCAGCAAUGUAAACUCCUUGAGAUUCAAUUUCCCCAUCUGUACAAUGAAAGUGAUACCUACCUGGAACAGAUGUUGUGAAGACUAAAUAAAUAAUAUGACAAUAUUCAGCAAAAUGUCUAUCACAUAUGAGAUCACAUUAUUUCCUUUUGCCUUCUUUCAAACAAAAUAUAAUAUAUAAUCAGUUACAUUAUCCUUUUUUACUGGACAAUAAAUCCUCUGUGGGGUUUUUCCUUUUAUGAAACCCUCCACUUUUAUGUAAAUUAACUGUAAUCUCCAUAUUUUCAUCAUCAUCUCCCUUUUUUGUGUGUGUUCCCAAAGUGACUGAAACAUUGGGUAAGCACUUUUACUAGACCAUAAUAAAUAGAUCCAAAGGGUAUUUUCAUUUACAAAUUUAUUUACAUAAAAGGAAAACAAGGAGUAGUAUCUGAAAUAGGACUUUCCCAGAAAAUGUGAGAUGGACAAAAGCCUGCACAGUACUGACCCUACCACAAAUUUUUAUUCUAUUUUAUUCUAUUAUUAAAGUAAUUAUUUGGGGAGCAUGGGUGGCUCAUUUGGUUAAGUAUCUGCCUUUGGCUCAGGUCAUGAUGCCAGGGGUCCUGGGAUCCAGCGGCAAGAUGGGCUCCCUGCUUGAGAACCUACUUCUCCCUCUCCUCCCCAAGUGCUCUCUCUUGCUAUCUCUCUCUCAAAUAAAUAAGAUCUUUUUAAUAAAUAAAUAUUCAAAUGUAUCAUUUUUCUUUGUCUAAUUCAGCAAAAUCAGAAACAAAAAAAAAAUGUAUCUUCGAGUAUAUUUUCAUUACCUUUCUAACAUUAUUCAAUGGUCAUACAAAAGAGCCAAAAGUCUUGCAGAAUCAAAGUAUACAUAACAAUCGUUUCUCCAAGUGAAAUUUCAAUUAUUUUAUUAUAGUGCAUUAGCAAUGGCAAUUAAACUUAGGCAUUUUGGGGGCACCUGGCUUGCUCAAUGGGUAGUGCAUGCAACUCCUGAUCUUGGGGUUGUGAUUUUGAGCCCCUGGUUGGCUGCAGAGCUUACUUUAAAAAAUAAAAUAUUUAGGGGCACCUGGGUGGCUCAGUGGUUGAAUGUCUGCUUUUGGCUCAGGUCCUGAUCCCAGGGUCCUCAGAUGGAGUUCCGCAUCUGCCUAUGUCUCUCUGCCUCUCUCUCUCUCUGUAUCUCUCAUGAAUAAAUAAAUAAAAUCUUUAAAAAUAAAUAAAAUCUUCUUUAAAAAAGGUUUUUUACCACAACGUUGGAGAGGAUGUGGAG